AAAAUAUUUAUCAACAGAAUAUGAUCAUCAAAAGAACAAAACAACACGAAAAGAAAAGAAAAGAAAAUAAAAAGAAGAAACCCCAAAUGAACAAUUCUUUGAUUCAAUCUUUCACAAUCCAAGAAACAGCAGAAACACAGAGGAACAAAGAGAGAGAAAAAGAACCUGCAUGAGGAAGAACAGCAGGAGCCGAAACCAAAGGAUCAAAGUAAUGAAUUUACU
rnacentral:sRNA from 1 species